AACACGAAAAUUGGGCAGCUGUUUGGGGUCUUUGGAAUAAACAAACUCGGCAGUUGCUGGAAAUUAAAAGAAAAAAGACAGAUUUCUGGAAUUAAACGGGAAAUUGGGCAGCCUCUGGAGAUAAAUAUGGGUUGGUGACACAUACCGGCAGAAGAGAGGACAUACACAAGAGUGGGCUGCAGUUUUGGAAAUUGGAAUUGAUUUUUAAUCUUUGUUUGAUAAUUUAUCAACAAUUGAGCGGGAAUUAGUCACGUUUUGUCGAUUUGUGGUGAUAUCUUGUAUCCUUUCUGUGUUUAAUUUUGACAAUAUGCUUGGUUAGAUUUUUAUAUUGUUAGGAUGUGAUGAAC
rnacentral:lncRNA from 1 species